ACAAUCCGAGCUUCUAAUAAAAACAUUUGCACUGUCAAUAUCUCAAUUUUCUGCAAUUUUCUUUCUUCUUGUGUGUAUACAGGAAGGGGGAUAUGGUAGAUAUGGCCCUUAUCAGGCAUUUCUACAACCACCAGUAUACCCACAACCAUACCAACCACAAUACUAACAAUAUCCCUUUUAAUAUCAUCAGUAACUGCAGGACGUGAUUAUUGAGGUUUGAUUGGCAAAUACAACUUCUACAUACAUAUUCUCAUCCUUCAUACUAUAUCACACUACCACCACUUUUUGAAGAAUCAUCAAAGAACAAUGCAAAUGAAAAACAGACUAUAAUUUACUGUGUACUCUUUGUUUCAGGAUACUUGCCUUUUUAAUUAUCAUUUGGUGAUGUAAUUGCAAUUUAAACUGUUAAGCUGUUUCCAGUACUGUUUCUGAAUAAUAGAAAUCACUUCUUCUCUAAAAGCAAUAAAUUUCAAGCACAUUCUUA